rnacentral:rRNA from 1 species
GAUGAACGCUGGCGGCGUGCCUAAUACAUGCAAGUCGAGCGAACGGACGAGAAGCUUGCUUUUCUGAUGUUAGCGGCGGACGGGUGAGUAACACGUGGAUAACCUACCUAUAAGACUGGGAUAACUUCGGGAGACCGGAGCUAAUACCGGAUAAUAUUUUGAACCGCAUGGUUCAAAAGUGAAAAACGGUCUUGCUGUCACUUAUAGAUGGAUCCGCGCUGCAUUAGCUAGUUGGUAAGGUAACGGCUUACCAAAGCAACGAUGCAUAGCCGACCUGAGAGGGUGAUCGGCCACACUGGAACUGAGACACGGUCCAGACUCCUACGGGAGGCAGCAGUAGGGAAUCUUCCGCAAUGGGCGAAAGCCUGACGGAGCAACGCCGCGUGAGUGAUGAAGGUCUUCGGAUCGUAAAACUCUGUUAUUAGGGAAGAACAUAUGUGUAAGUAACUGUGCACAUCUUGACGGUACCUAAUCAGAAAGCCACGGCUAACUACGUG